rnacentral:rRNA from 1 species
CCUACGGGGGGCUGCAGUGAGGAAUAUUGGUCAAUGGGCGGAAGCCUGAACCAGCCAAGUAGCGUGCAGGAUGACGGCCCUACGGGUUGUAAACUGCUUUUAUACGGGAAUAACGCGCCUUACGUGUAGGGCUUUGCAUGUACCGUAUGAAUAAGGACCGGCUAAUUCCGUGCCAGAAGCCGCGGUAAUACGGAAGGUCCGGGCGUUAUCCGGAUUUAUUGGGUUUAAAGGGAGCGUAGGCCGGAUGGCAAGCGUGCUGUGAAAUGUCCGGGCUCAACCCGGGCUUUGCAGUGCAAACUGGCGUGCUUGAGUCCGCGGAAAGCAGGCGGAAUUCGUAGUGUAGCGGGGAAAUGCGUAGAUAUGACGAAGAACCCCGAUUGCGAAGGCAGCUUGCUGCAGCGGAACUGACGCUGAUGCUCGAAAGCGCGGGUAUCGAACAGGAUUAGAUACCCUUGUAGUC